CUUGAUAAAAAGAAAUUAUAUAUUAUCCAUGCCUUUUGCCGAGUGCUUAGGGCCAUGGGCAAAGAACCCGUAGUGUGGGUACCCACUUUUAUUGCCACGCAACUGUAACAUCCCAAAAUUCCAAAACCUUUCAUAUGCAUUGCACUCAUGAGCAUCAUGCCACAAUUGCAUAUUUCAAUUCAAAUUUGAAUCUCAAAAGGCUUUAAAAAGGUUUUUAUUUCAUUUUAAACCCUAGGGUUUCACCCAUUUGAGCUUUGGAUCUUCAAACCAAUAGGGUUUAUCUAUAAAAGGGGUUUAUUGCUAAAUUAAGCUAUCCCAUAAUUUUUGGAUAUUUAUUUGGAGUUGAAAAACUAUUUUAUUUCAAUAGUUAUAUAGCCCUAAAUGCAUUUAUAGGGCAAAUGUAUUUUUUAUAUAUUUUAUUUUGAAGAGAAAUUAGUCCCAAAAGUUGAAUCAUGAUAAAACAUGAUUUUACAAAUUUUCUGGAAUUUAUUUGGACCAAUUUGGAGAUCAAAAUCAAAAGUUAUAAAGGAUUUACAGAAAAAGAAAAAAAAGGAAAAGGUUAAAGGAAAAGAAAAAGAGAGAAACGGACCGGCCCGGCCGAUUUGGGCCGAACCGGCCGACUUAGCUGCCGUGCGCCGCAGCCCCGCAGCCCAGCGCCCUGCGCGCGCGCACGAGCCACCGACAGGUGGGCCCCACCUAUCAGGGUCGUCCCCUACCUUGGGCCGCGCGCCAUCACCGGAGACCUGCCAUUUCCGUCGUCCCCACGGUCCCCCGAGCGCGUCACUAUAAAGGGCAAGAAUCCCUCAUCCUUUUCCCCCAACCUUGCCCACCGAAUCGUGCGCACACGCUGCCCAAAUUGCUCGCCGGAAGAACUCUAGCCGCCGCCGCAUCUCCUGCUCGCCGCCGGCAACAAGGUGAGACAUCGUCGACCCCGCCGCGUUUCUCUUGAUCCCCACACCCGUGCGCAUCUUCUGACACGUGCCAUUUUCCUUUUGGGGCGCC
rnacentral:lncRNA from 1 species